rnacentral:lncRNA from 1 species
CUACAAAAACACUCCAUAGUUUGGCAUAUUGGUCACGCUUGUUUUGUAGGCCCAUUAAAUGGUAAGCUUCCUUGGUCUCCAAUUGAUUUCCACAUGUCUGAUAUGGGUCUUCUUCACAACCACUGUGCUCAUGUAUGUUUGUCAUUCCAUGCAUUGUUGGACCAACCAGAUGUGCGAUUGCUUUUGCAUUUGGCAAGAUGAGAAAAUCUAUCACUUGUUGUCCAAGCACAGACAAAAAACACUACAUGAAAACUAGCUAAAAUGAUAAUUUUUUUGGGGUAGACAGGUGCGGGCCUCAACCUAACAUUUUGCAUAGCCUUACAAUAUUUGUUUAUUGUACUUUAAUGGUUGUUCUAUUCUAUGAAGGUCUACAAUGCAACUACUCAUUGUUAUAGGGUUGUUAGGCAAUUCCACACUCAUGAAAAUCAGAUUGCAGCAGUUAUUUUAAUUUUUCUUUAAUGUUUUUUGUCUUUAUUAAAUUUGAGGUGGGUGGGAGGAAGGAACAAUCAAAUGUACCAAUGGGUAGGAUGAUACAAAUAGAGUAUGAGUGGAUUGACAUAAAUUAUGUUCAGUAUGUUUGUAAUACAUGGCAGAUCCUAUAAUAAAGCUCAAGAAAUCUA